rnacentral:rRNA from 1 species
GACGAACGCUGGCGGCGUGCCUAAUACAUGCAAGUCGAGCGGACAGAAGGGAGCUUGCUCCCGGAUGUUAGCGGCGGACGGGUGAGUAACACGUGGGUAACCUGCCUGUAAGACUGGGAUAACUCCGGGAAACCGGAGCUAAUACCGGAUAGUUCCUUGAACCGCAUGGUUCAAGGAUGAAAGACGGUUUCGGCUGUCACUUACAGAUGGACCCGCGGCGCAUUAGCUAGUUGGUGAGGUAACGGCUCACCAAGGCGACGAUGCGUAGCCGACCUGAGAGGGUGAUCGGCCACACUGGGACUGAGACACGGCCCAGACUCCUACGGGAGGCAGCAGUAGGGAAUCUUCCGCAAUGGACGAAAGUCUGACGGAGCAACGCCGCGUGAGUGAUGAAGGUUUUCGGAUCGUAAAGCUCUGUUGUUAGGGAAGAACAAGUGCAAGAGUAACUGCUUGCACCUUGACGGUACCUAACCAGAAAGCCACGGCUAACUACGUG